AGCGAACGUUAGCGGCGGGCCUAACACAUGCAAGUCGGACGAGAAAGUGGCUUCGGCCAUGAGUAAAGUGGCGGACGGGUGAGUAACACGUGGGUAAUCUGCCUUUUGGUGGGGGAUAACAGUCCGAAAGGAUUGCUAAUACCGCAUACGUCGGUGGGGACUUGGGUCUCUGCCGGGAAAGCCGGCCACUCCAUGGAAGCUGGCGCCAAAAGAGGAGCCCGCGGCCCAUCAGCUAGUUGGUGAGGUAACGGCUCACCAAGGCAAAGACGGGUAGCUGGGCUGAGAGGAGGAUCAGCCACACUGGGACUGAGACACGGCCCAGACUCCUACGGGAGGCAGCAGUGGGGAAUAUUGGGCAAUGGGCGCAAGCCUGACCCAGCCACGCCGCGUGAGUGAUGAAGGCUUUCGGGUCGUAAAGCUCUGUGGGGAGGGACGAAAAAACGGAUGCUAAUACCAUCUGGACUGACGGUACCUCCUUAGCAAGCACCGGCUAACUCCGUGCCAGCCGCCGCCGUAACAC
rnacentral:rRNA from 1 species